CCUACGGGUGACAGCAGUGAGGAAUAUUGGUCAAUGGACGAGAGUCUGAACCAGCCAAGUAGCGUGAAGGAUGACUGCCCUAUGGGUUGUAAACUUCUUUUAUAUGGGAAUAAAAUGUUCCACGUGUGGGAUUUUGUAUGUACCAUAUGAAUAAGGAUCGGCUAACUCCGUGCCAGCAGCCGCGGUAAUACGGAGGAUCCGAGCGUUAUCCGGAUUUAUUGGGUUUAAAGGGAGCGUAGGUGGAUUGUUAAGUCAGUUGUGAAAGUUUGCGGCUCAACCGUAAAAUUGCAGUUGAAACUGGCAGUCUUGAGUACAGUGGAGGUGGGCGGAAUUCGUGGUGUAGCGGUGAAAUGCUUAGAUAUCACGAAGAACUCCGAUUGCGAAGGCAGUUCACUGGACUGCAACUGACACUGAGGCUCGAAAGUGUGGGUAUCAAACAGGAUUAGAUACCCUAGUAGUC
rnacentral:rRNA from 1 species